UCAGAGCUCUGCCCCUCUCAGCUUCUCCUGGCAGGAGUUAUCAGAUGCAAUAAUGCCAGGAAAGCUAGAGUGGAACAAAUCUGUGUCUCUUCCAAGACUCUGUGAAGGAAUCAGAGAGAAAAUGCUGCUGCAAACCGAAAGAAUACUUGCAAAGUGAGAGGCUGUUCAGUCAGCCAAAUAUCUCUGCAAAUUACAUGAGUGGUUUCUUUUCACAGGCUAGGCUUUCUCCUCAAGUUACCACAGUCUGAGUGACCAGAAAUCUUCCCCGAUGUUUUCUUGGUGUUACAUUUGCUGUGUGGCACCUGAGGGAGGUUUGCAGAAAUGGUUUCAUUAGUGGGGGAAAAUACUCUGCACUGGAAAUAAGCCCUUACAGCUGAUGCCUCAAGCUAUUCAGUAGCUGUCCAGAAACUCUUACCCACACUUAUCUGGUGUGCAGCCUGUGUAGCCCUUCCCCUCCUGACACGUGCCCACAGUUAUGUGCAGUCAGGCACACAUCAACACAUGAAAAUGCUAAUAAGCAUACACAUAUGUAAUUUAACUCCUAUUUGCCUAUUCACACAUACCAUGCCUCUGUGCAUGUCAGUAUGUUCCUCUUUUCUUGUUUCCAUUUACUCAUACAGAGCAGUCCAUCCCUGGUGCAGAUUUGCUUCCAAUUCUGACAGUCAUGUAAAACACAACUUUAUGUUUUUGGUUCAUCCUCUGUACAGCCAGCCCUGACACCAAACUGUGGGAAAAGCAGCUCAUAUUUGAAUAUCCUAACUGUAAUUCAUACUUUAUCUGGUUCUCUAGACAUUUGCUUAGCAUCUCUUCAUGCCUUCAGACUCUGUCUGAUCUCAGAUUUCCUGACUACUGCUGCAAGGCAGAAGGCAGAUACCUGCUGCUCCUCGAGGCAUUCUAGUGGAAGGAUGAAGCCCAGAAGAGGAAAAUGUAAUGAUGGUAAGUAGGUUGUGGGAAUGACACCAUUCAUUGGUACUCUAGGUAUCAAAGUACUCACUAACGGGCAAUUUACAAGAGACACUUUUGAGCCAUUUUGAAGGAAAUCACUGGCUGCUGUGAGCAGGAGAGUGCAGGCGGCUUCGUGCAAGCGUCAGCUGUCGCCCAGGAGCUGCGCAAGAAAUACAAGUGGAUCUUUCCAUUUCCACACUCCUCUGUGGGUGUCUGGGAGCAGGAGUUUAUCCUUUGCAGAAUCCUACUCAUUGCCCAUGUCAUGUGGGCUCACCAAGGCCACACAGAAGUUUAAGCCAACUGUCUUCUAAAGCCAGGCAAAGGGGAGGACUCUUUCCUUAUUCCAGCUGAGUAUAUAAAAUAGGCAUGCAGAUCUAGUAUUUUAUUUUCCUUAUCUUCCUCAGAGCAAACAAUAUAAAUCACUGAAAUACUGUUUUGCAAAGGUCCUAAGCAUUUCCAUAAAGUUGUACUUGACUAGGGUUUUCUCUUCAUUUGUUCUGGCAUGUUAACUUAUUCUGAUUAGUUGUUAUGGUAAGUUUCAUCUAAACACUAACAGAAAUUUGAAGAUUUUUAUUAAAGAGGAAGGUACUUCAAAGUGCAAAUGCCCAUCUGUGCACAUGCCCACACAUUUGUAAAUAAUCCCACAUAUGCUGGUGGCCAUUUUGCCUUUGGUGGGACAUACCAGCACAGCUCAACCUCUAGGUUCACUUUAGUGCUAGCAAGUGAAAAGUAGGAGCAUGAACUUCCAUAGACCAUCCUCAUCAACUUCACUUGUUCCCAGACAGACUUGUACAUGCAUAUCUUUAUAGCACCUUCCAGUUCAUAAAGGCAUCUACAGGUAAGCUGGAGACAGGCUUUACUUUUUCCAAGAGCAUGUAGUGGUAGGACAAGGGGUACAGCUUCGUACCAAAAGAAGUCAGGUUUGGAUUAUAUGGCAGGAAAAGAAUUUUACUGCGGGGAUGGUGAGACAGUGGCAUGGGUUGCCCAGAGAAGUUGUGGAUGCUCCAUCCCUGGGAGUGUUCAAGGCCAGGGUGGAUGGGGCUUUGAGCAGCCUGGACUAGUGGAAGGUGUCCUUGCCCAUGGCAGGAGGGUUGGAACUGGAUGAUCUUUAAGGUCCCUCCCAGCCAAAGUAGUCUGUGAUCAAACCUGAGCGAAGAUUCAGCUCAGCAGCGAAUUAAAACCCAGUGAAGUGUGUGCCCAGAAUUGCAAGUGCAAGUGGUCAUACAAAUGCUGGACCACAAAGAAGGAUGACUUGUAACUAGUGGUUCAAAGAGAACUAGCAGGAAAUCUGGGGUCACUGCCUGGCUCUGCCACAGAUUUCCUUUAUGUCCUUGCCUCGUUCACUUUAGCAGUUCUCCAGAUAAAGGAGACAAUAGUACCUCCCUAAUGGUCUUGGGAAGGUCUCUUGAGACUGUGAAGAGGGAGGACUUGAAUCUGUGAAUAUCCUCCUGAGCAAAAGGUAUUCCAGAUUAGAACUGCCUAGGUCUGCUGCUGCUCCCCAAAGUAAUUAUAUCAAAUAUCUGGAGAAAUAAUAAAAUGUUUUCCCAUUUGUGGUUGGAGGACAUACUUUGUUCAAUAACCUGGAAUGCAAACUUUGGUUAUAGUUUUGAGCCCUUGUUUCCUGGUGUGUUUAUUCUUUGGGGUUGUUUUGGGCUUGGUUUUUUCCUUGUUUUUUUAAUGUGGGUGUUUGGGGUUUUUUUGGGGGUUUUUUGCUUCAGUUUGGGUAGGGUUGGGUUUUUAAAAAUUAUUUUUGGUCAUUGAAGUCAAAUUCAAAGUGCUUACCCCCUCCUUGUUUUAAAUCAAGAAAGUGGUCUUUUACAAAAUAGUUAAGAACUCAUUCAAAUUUUCGUCUGGAUCAUUUUUGUGUCUUUCUUCCUCUAACUGAAAGUUUGCAGUGCAGCCACACACCUGGCAGAAGUUCUUUAGUUCUGUCAGCUGCAAUUUUCCCGGAAAAUCUCCUUGCUGGAUAACUUCUGAUGAGGCUGCAGGAAAGGACAGGUUUGUUUAGCUGUCUGCAUUGGAGUGGAAUAUUGCCCUCUUCCUGCACCUGCCUGCUGGCUUUAGAAGUGUGGGACACUGAAUAACCCAGCAGAGAGGUAUCACCUGCAAGCAAGGAGGUAAGAGCAUGUCCCCUUGGUGAGAUGCUGGUAUUCUCUGGAUAGAUCUUCUGCCUUUCCAGGUGGGACAGAGUGGCCUCUUUAACCCCAUCACUGGAUCAGCGUUCCCAAACUACACCAGUGUGACCAUCCCACUUGGAUUAAGCAAGUAGCUCCUGGCUUCUGACUCCACAAUCCAGCCUUGGGUAUCCCUCUCAGGCUGAUGCACCCCCCUCUUCCUCCCUCUCCCCUGAAGCCCCCUGCUUGUGGGCUCCUUGAUAUUUUCCAGUCCUUCCCUAAUGAGCACUGCAGAAUUACAGCUAAUUAAGGAUGUAAAUGAUGCUGGAGAGGGAGAGAGGGGGAGAGGAUGGGAAGGGGCGGAGGGGGGAGGGCAGCUACUUGCUGUGUGCAACUCUGCACUAAAGUGUCUCCUACCUCAGCAGAAAAGUUAUCACGGGAGACAAUGUCAACUUUACAGAGGGGGAGGGCCCUUCACAUGGCUCCAUCCCCGCCUGCAACAGCCGCGCCUCUCUUUUAGUGUCAGCGCUGCAGAUGCUGAUGUCCUUCCUCCUCCUCCCAAAUGCUGCUUUGUCAGCCAAAGCUGUCAAAGAGCCCUGGUCUCCCUCUCUGAUAUGUGCCCCUGCCCACACCUGUGUGUUGCCUGAGAGGUGAAGGGCUCACAAGAAGAUCUCAAAACCUGCUGGUGCUCUGGCCAGUGCCUCGGAGAUGAUGAUGUAGUCCCUAUGUGGGCCGCAGAAAGCACUUCGAGCCGUGCUGGAGUCGUGCUGGGUGGCUCUGAUAGCAGAGCUAAUGGGAGCGAAUGGGAUGCAACGAACUGUUCUAAUGACACCAGCCAGGGAAGAGACAACAAAUCAGGUGCUGGAGAGAGGCUGAGCAAGCAGGACUCACCCUCUGUGAGGCUCCACUCACAUGAUGCUGACAGGAUCACGCUGCUGUGUCCUGGCUCUGGCCAAACUAAAAGCAGCACUCGGGUGACUCUGUGACAUUGCUGUGGAUGGAGUGAUGCCCUGAAACUCUUCAGCAUCCCUGGGCCUGGAUACAGUGAAACUUCCAGUGCCCUGUCAUUGCAAGGGCAAAGGUAAAUUGGAAUAUCUUCCCUCUUUGCAUCACCCACCUUUCUUCUUUGCUAAGAAAGAGGUUUUUCCCUGAUGCCAACGGAGACACACUGCAGAAGAGCCACUGCUGAUGGGAUGUGUUCCAGCCUGUGGGAAUACAGAUUGAUUUAUCUUCUUUGCGUGAGUGUGAGGACACCAAGACACAGAGGUGGGAGUGGUCUUACUCAAGGUCACACUGCACAAAUUAGUGGCAAGGGUCACUCCUCAGUUCUAUGAGGAACAGCAGAGAAAAAUGUUGUCAGCAUCCUAUGUUGGACUACCACCAUGGCACUGUCUUUCAAGUCUGUCCUGUGAUCACCAAAUACUCUUGCUGUCUCUGACAAGCAGAAGAAACAGAGCUGGUCCAAACUGACUUCUGGUGCAACAGACACUGAAGUCCUUGCAAAAGGAGAGACUUCAGAUGUCACUAGCUGAAGAUACCCCAGAGGUGGGCCUGGUUCCUCCCCUUGCACUCCUGUUUCAGUAUUGGUGUGCCAUGACCUAGUGGCUGGGACUCAGGACCUGGCAGAGCCAUUUCUGUAAAGGGAAGGAGAGAUGCCAUUCUGGACUCAGGGAUUUAUUGCGCUUGAAGUGGAAACCUGAAGUGAGAAGCUGAAUGCAAAGCAACCAAUUUGUCCCUAUUAAGUCCCAGUAUGUCUGUGCUGUAAGUGCCAUCUCAGACCCCCUUCCCAUGCACCAGUUUGUGCAAGCGAUGAAAAGACUGUAAAAAUGUACAUCUACAAAAGUUUAUCUGCUUAUUUGUCUUCAGUAUCUUGUGCCUUCCCCUUCUUAAGUGAAAAAGACUAUGGAAAGACUAAUAGCUCACAUCUACACAUUACAGGAUUUUGUCUCCCUUUUUAAAAAACUCCACUAAAGCCUCACACCAGCAGAACUUACUGUGCAAAGGUAAGCAAUCACCCUGCUGUCUUAAACCUACUGAAGCCUGGAUUCAACAGGCGAGAAAGUCAGGCUUUAGGGCUCCAAAUACUGGGUCAGAAAGACUGUGGCCACAUGACACAAAUGCUGAUCUGAUGUGAAGCUGAUCUGCUAAUGCAGAUCCUUUCAGAGAGUGCUGACAGGUUAACUUCUGACAGACUCAAUGUGCAUUUGGUGUUAUUUGUCUGUGACUCUGACUUUAUACCUUAAA